GGCGUAGGCCGGACAUUUCUAGUCGACUGUUGCGCGUGCGCGCGCUGUGACGUUCCCUACGCGGUCGGGCGUUGGGUUUCGCGGCGCUCGCCGCACUGGUUGUUCAGCACCUUCGGUCCGGUUGAGGUUGUCAAGUCGGACCAAACAGGUUGUUUCUCUGCAGUUUCCAACAUGGCAGGGAGGUUUAAUAGACAUGGAUAAGAAGUCCACUCACAGAAAUCCUGAAGAUGCCAGGGCUGGCAAAUAUGAAGGUAAACACAAACGAAAGAAAAGAAGAAAGCAAAACCAAAACCAGCACCGAUCCCGACAUAGAUCAGUGACGUCUUUUUCUUCAGAUGAUCCUAUGUUUCCUUCUUCCUCAUCAUCGUCUUCAGGAAGCCAGACAGAUUCAAGUAUUGAAGAUGCUGCCAAGGGAAAAAUUAAGAAGAAGAGAAGAGAGAAAACAAAUAAAUGGGAAAAAAGAAAGGACAAAAUAUGAAACACCAAGAAAAAGAGAAGGAAAAAAAGGAGGAAACAACCACAUAUGUCACCUUUCCAAGGCCACAGGAAAUGGAGUCUGAAAUAAAGCCACUGUAUCUAAAACAUUUAUUUAAUGGUAAAACUUGAUGAUUAAUAGUAUUAUUAGCGUUUUAAAGACUAUAUGUUUAGAGUUUGAAGUAAAGCUCCAGUGUUAAUUUAACUUACUUUUCAAGGCUUAACGUGUUCUCAUCUAAAAACAAUGAUGUCCAAAAUUUCUGUUUUCUACUGUAAGUAUUAUGUAUAAUAAAAUAGGUAGUAAAUCUAU
rnacentral:lncRNA from 1 species